UGAUUUUUAUUUAAUUUUAAAUAGUUUAUUUAGGUAUGUUCGCAGUAUAUAGAAUUGGUUUAAUUAAAUUUAUUUAGAACCAAAUAUUUAAAUUAGCACUGGCUUAGGCCUGUGCCAGCUGCCGCGGUUAGACAGGCGGUGCAUCUCAAAUUGUUCAGUUUUAAUUAGUUUUUAUUUUUUGCUUUAUAUUAAUAUUUUUAGGGUGAAAUUUUAAAUGUUAUUAAGGCAUAUAUUUUGUUAAUAAGGUUAAGAAAUUUUUUUUAUAAACUAGGAUUAGAUACCCUAUUAUUUAAAAUGUUAAUAUAUAUAAUACUAGGCUAGUAUUAGUUAUUUUCUUGAAAAUUAUAUAAUUUGGCGGUAUUUCAGUCUAUUCAGAGGAACCUGUCCCGUAAUUGAUAAUCCACGAUUUAUAGCACUUUCUUUAUUAGUUUAUAUAUCGUUGUAGCUUGAGUAUUUUUUAAGAAUUUAAAUUCUCAUAAUUUUAUAUAAGAGGGUAAUUCAAAUCAAGGUGUAGCUUAUAAGGGAGUGGCGAUGGGUUACAUUAAAUUUAUUUUAGGAUGAUUUUUAGUAUAAUAAUUUGAAUUUGGAUUUGAAUGUAAUUUUUACUAGAUAGUAAAGUUGAUUUUAGCUCUGAAAUAUGCACAUAUCGCCCGUCGCUUUCAUCUAUUGAAAUAAGUCGUAACAUAGUAGGCCUACCGGAAGGUGGGCCUGGAACAGAU
rnacentral:rRNA from 1 species